UAACAAUAACAAAGAAAUGAUAACAAUAUUAAACACCAAUAAAUAAAUGAGAGUUAACAAAGGUAAUUAAUAUCACAAUUAAGAUCUUUCUCUCUCUCUCCUCUGUGUGUGUGUCUCUCCCCUUUGUCACACCCAGGCUAGAGUGUGAUAAAAAAAUAUUUAAAAGGUCAACUUCACUGAGGAGGAAGGAGCAUAGGAAAACACAGAAAAGAGCAAAGAAGAAAAACAACAGCAGGUCACUGCUACAGUGUGAUAAAAAAAUCUAAAAGUCAACCUCAGUGUGCAGGAAGGAGUGUAGGAAAAUACUGAGAGAAAAGAACAAAGAAGAAAAACAACAGCAAAUCACUCUAUGUACUGUGGAAAGAAACUGAAAAUGGGGUUGGAAAAAACAGAGGAAGAAGGUCCGAGUAGUCCCAGGUAUUCAAGGGGCCGAGAUGGGUUGACCACCUGGGCAAGACCGGGGAAGUGAAGGCCAGAGUGAAUCACCAUUGUAUCCUCCUGCUGGACCUGAACGGUACUGCCACUGGUGAAAAUCAUAUGGACGAUCUUAGACAUGGCAAGGCGAGAGCCAUCUGGUCAACCUUAGACAUGGAAAGCUGGAGGCUAAGUCCAACGCUUGCGACUGACAUCUGUCUCAAAAUAAAUUUAAAAACCUACAGUAAAUACAUAACAACAAAAAAAAUUAAAGACCAAUAAAUAAAUAAAUGGGAGUGAACAAAGGUAAAAGGUAAUUAGUGUCAAAAUUAACAUUUAUUUUCA
rnacentral:lncRNA from 1 species